GAAAAACCGAUUAGACUUUUUUGGAAAAGUUUUUUGUUUUGAUUUUUAAAUUAAAAAUUUUUUAAUUUUUGAAUCUUGUUUUACAAAUUGUGACCUUUGUACCUAUUGAAUUAAGAUGAACAAACCUUUGAAAGUAUUUUGUUUUAAUUCGCUAUGGAAUACAUUUGUUUUCGAUGAGAAACUUUACUCUCAGUGGUUAUCAUCAUUCGAUGUAGAGCUAAGAGAUUUACCUGUUGCUAUUGUUUCCAUUGUCGGUGAUGCGAGAAAAGGAAAAUCUUUUCUAUUGAACUUUUUCCUUCGAUAUUUACAACGACACGACCAAGAAGAUUGGAUUGGUGAUCUGGAUGAACCAUUAAGAGGUUUCUCAUGGAGAGAUGGCGUUGAGAGAGAUACUGUUGGGAUCGUUUUAUGGCCUAAACCUUUUGUAUUGACUCGAAAAGAUGGUUCAAAAAUUGUUGUUAUUUUAAUGGACACUCAGGGUUUUUAUGAUGAUCACACAAAGCACGAUACAGUCCGCGAAUUUUUCACCAUUUCAACGAUUAGUUCAUCGAUUCUAAUCUAUAAUCUCAAUGGAAACAUCCAAUCAAAUGAUUUAAUAAAUUUAUCCGAAUUCAGUGAAUAUGCUAAAGUUUAUGCUGGUGAAGCCAAAAUAGAAAAUGGAAUUGAGGCCUUUCAGCAAUUGUUGUUCGUGAUCCGAGAUUGGUCUAAUCGUAAGGAAUUUGAAUUUGGACUCAAAGGAGGAUAUGAUUUCUUGGAAUACAAGAAAGAAAGUCAGAAAGAUAAAUUCUGUUCUCUAUGGGCCAAAUUGGAGAAGUGUUAUUUGGACAUUGAUUGUUGUUUGUUACCUUCGCUUGGAGACAAAGCUGAAGAUCUCGAUUUCAAUGGAGAAAUAAGUAAAUUGAAACCUGAAUUUGUCAAAGCUCUCAGAGAAUUAGUUCCAUCACUAUUAGCACCAGACACAAUUGUCACUAAAUCAAUUGGAGGAGAGGAAGCUCAAUGUUGGCAAGUCUUAAAGAUCUUCAAGAAAUUGGCAAAAAAUAAAGUUAUGGAAUCUAAGAAAUCGCAAUUUAUAAAAAACGGCCCCAUCAUCAUUGAGGCUUUUGAUGAUUCCAAAACAUUUUUCCAUGCCUUAUUUCCUGGUAAAACGUUUGAUCUUGCACUGAUACUGGCUAUUCAAAUGUAUGACAACAGAACAGAUUUAAUUUAUGAUGAUCACGUGUCUUCUAAACGCGCGGAGUUAAUUGUUUACUGUGAACGUAUUCGAGAUGAGGCCAUCAAAAAGAACGAAGCUUCCACCAGUAGGCCAAGAAAUAUCGAUUGGCUCAAAGUGAGCGGAGUCGUAGCCACAAUCGCCUUUACUGUAGGGAAACUGAUCUUGCUAAAGAGACUAUGAGUUUUUAAAACUAACACUCAUUUGAAAGCCAGAGAGAUAAAUGACUCGAUAUAAAUACUCCCCUUGGGAAAUUUUACAGAAACUGAUUAAAUUUUGAUAACACUUUCAAUCGGAGCUUUUCGGGGAGUUUUAUAAAUAAACACUCGAUGGAUCAAAAACAAUCCAUAAAGGAGAUACAUCAAAUCUUUCAUAAUGAAAACUUUCGAGUCAAAAUAUAAGUUAAAUUGUCAAUCUCCUCAUUAGGAGCAGAAUCUAUUUGACCAAUUCUGACAAAAGACGAUAAAUUGUCACUCGACAAAGCUCAUACGUUUGCAUUACAUCUAAAGUUAAUUGUAAACAUUAAUGACUAGCAAAUGAUAAUCAAAUGUUCUGACGAUUGAAACAAUUGAACAAAGUAUUCAAUUGUGUAGCAGUUUAAUUUUAUUAGGCACUCCGAGCCUUUUUUUAGCCCUUCAACAAUGAAACCUAAACUUAUUCAAACAAACAAUUAAAUUGAUUAGUUUCAAUUAUUAAUCUUUUUCAAUCAGUUCAUUUCGAGACUGGAAAUUUUCACGUUUAUUUCUCUGAUCAAAUUUAUCAAUAUUCUAUCCAUUAUCUAUUUUCGACUUUGAAAUUUUCCACGGGCGAUCGAUUUUUUUUGAAAGUCGAGAUCGAUCAAUUUUCUUCAUCAGAAAUCGAUGUGAUCGAUCAAUUUUUCGGAUCAAAAGUUUUGAUUCAAAACAAAAUCUCAAGAGUAACGAUGUUGUUACCUUUUUGAAAGACCGAUUGGACUUUUCUCCGUUUUAGUUUCUAUUUUUUUACCGAUUUUCCAACUGUGACCUUUGUUCCUGUAGAAUUAUAAUGAUCGAACCUCUGAAAGUUAUUUAUUUUGAUUCGCAAUCAAAUGAAUUUGUCUUCGAUGAGAAAGGCUACUACGAGAUGUUAUUAUCAUGGGAAGAUGGUAUAAGUAAUCUGCCUGUUGCUAUUGUUUCCAUUGUCGGUGAUGCGAGAAAAGGAAAAUCUUUUCUAUUGAACUUUUUCCUUCGAUAUUUACAACGACACGACCAAGAAGAUUGGAUUGGUGAUCUGGAUGAACCAUUAAGAGGUUUCUCAUGGAGAGAUGGCGUUGAGAGAGAUACUGUCGGGAUCGUUUUAUGGCCUAAACCUUUUGUAUUGACUCGAAAAGAUGGUUCAAAAAUUGUUGUUAUUUUAAUGGACACUCAGGGUUUUUAUGAUGAUCACACAAACCACGAUACAGUUAGUCAAUUUUUUACAAUUGCAACGAUUAUUUCAUCGAUUCAAAUCUAUAAUCAGAAGGGAACCAUUCAAUCAAAUGAUAUUACAAUUUUAUCCAAAUUUAGUGAUUAUGCUGAUAGAGUGGCAAACGAAACUGGAGUCAAAGCCUUCCAGCGAUUGUUGUUCAUGAUCCGAGAUUGGUCUAAUCGUAAGGAAUUUGAAUUUGGACUCAAAGGAGGAUAUGAUUUCCUGGAAUACAAGAAAGAAAAUCAGAAAGAUAAAUUCUGUUCUCCAUGGGCCAAAUUGGAGAACUGUUAUUCGGACAUUGGUUGUUGUUUGUUACCUUCACUGGGAGACAAAGCUGAAGAUCUCGAUUUCAAUGGAGAAAUAAGUAAAUUGAAACCUGGAUUUGUCCAAGCUCUCAGAGAGUUAGUGCCAUCUAUUUUGUCACCCGAUAGAAUUGUCACCAAAUUAUAUGGAGGAAAGGAAAUUGAAUGUUGGAGGAUCUUGAAUCUCUUUAAAGAAGCGACCGAACAACUUACAUCAAUCAAAUCAAUUGAUAUUGAGGAAUAUGGAUUGACCAGUAACAUUUCCAUAAUCAAUAAUGCUCAUUUACUAGCCAGACAUCAUUAUUUGGAGCAACUUCAAUGUUUUGAACAAUCUGAACAAAAAGCUCUCCAAAAAGAACAUUUCGAUGCCGCUGAAACGGCAGCUCUUGAAUUGUUUGAUGAAAAAACAGAAUUAAUCGACGAUGAGCAAGAUGAAAUCGACAUUGCAAAAUUGGAGCUGGUCCAGUUCUUCGCGCACACCCGCGAAAUUUUUCCUCAACUGCCGCGAUCAAGUCUAAAAGAAGCCUCGAAAAUGUCUCUAUUCCACAUAAAGUGGGGCGUUUUACUCGGAAUGGGUCUCGCUGGGGCCGCUACAUGUGCGAAACUCUAUUUUAUCAAAACUAUAUGACCUCUUUUUGCAAAAUCGCUAUUGAGAUUUAUUUGAAUCGAACUUUUAGUUUGUAAAGAAAUGGAACCAAUUUAAAAUAUUUUGUCUUUUCA